GAUGAACGCUGGCGGCGUGCUUAACACAUGCAAGUCGAACGGUGAAGCAGAGCUUGCUCUGUGGAUCAGUGGCGAACGGGUGAGUAACACGUGAGCAACCUGCCCUGGACUCUGGGAUAAGCGCUGGAAACGGCGUCUAAUACUGGAUACGAGACGUGGCCGCAUGGUCAACGGUGGGAAAGAUUUUUUGGUUCAGGAUGGGCUCGCGGCCUAUCAGCUGGUUGGUGAGGUAAUGGCUCACCAAGGCGUCGGCGGGUAGCCGGCCUGAGAGGGUGACCGGCCACACUGGGACUGAGACACGGCCCAGACUCCUACGGGAGGCAGCAGUGGGGAAUAUUGCACAAUGGGCGAAAGCCUGAUGCAGCAACGCCGCGUGAGGGAUGACGGCCUUCGGGUUGUAAACCUCUUUUAGCAAGGAAGAAGCGAAAGUGACGGUACUUGCAGAAAAAGCGCCGGCUAACUACGUGCCAGCAGCCGCCGUAACAC
rnacentral:rRNA from 1 species